GUCGCUCCAAGAAACGGCUCGUGAGUGUGGGGCUCGGUUCCCUCUCCUCCAGUUCUCCACCACGCGCGGUCUAGUCACCUGCCGCCGCCCCGACUCCACCGGAGCCCCAACUGCUGCCGCUGGAUACAUCUGGUCGAAGUACCAGUAGGUCCGCCGGAAACACCGAGUCCCGGUGCCUCUGGCCAUGGAGCAAGGGAGUCUGGUAAAGGAGCUAUUUUACCAAGGCAACGGGCCUCCGGGGCUCGGAGAGGCCAGGAUCCUCCUUCGAUCUGAGCAAACAAAUUCCACCUUCCAGAUCAAGGUGAUUGUGUUGAUUCUGCUGCUCUUUCCAAGCCAUUGAGUCAUGCCCGAGGAAAGAGGUGGGCAACUUAGGAGAAGCUAGUUGAAGAAAUUUUGGCUCUUGCUCCCUGAAUAACAGAAUCUGUUAUCACUUUUUUUCCAUUAGUCAGCUGAACAGGAACGUGUACCUGUACUUCUACUGAAACUUAACGACACUGCUCCUCAAAGAAAGACGGUUAUUAUACUACUGCACAACUCUUACAAAUGCAAGGAAUGGUUGUGUCCACUGCUUCAGGCACUGAACUCAUCUUGGAGGAGUGGGAAAACUAUACCUUUCAUUUUUACACGCAGUGGAGAUCAUUGACUAAAGAGGACGAUCGGGGAGCUCUGGACAUGCUAAUCUCUAAAAUUCGGGCCUCGACGUCCUCCACAUCCGGGCAGGCUCAUGACGUCUAAUCUUGUUUGGUGCUUCAUCGUCCCUCCUAUCUGUUGGUGUUUCCGUUAUCCCUCCGACCUGCGUGCCGUGUUUGGCAAGUUGCCAUGUACCGCUUAUACUCUCGUGUGUCCUGGUUUUAUUCUGUUACUGUGGUUGGUGGGUGUUUCGCCCUGGGUGUUGAUGUUGGGCUUAUGACGCUGCCUCGUGGCUUUAUUUAUAAAGUCGGGCUUAGACCUUUUCUCUAAAAAAGAAAACACGCACAAGCGGUCGAAGAUGAGAUUACAUAUCUCAUCCACAUAAUUUACAAGUGACG